AAGAAUCCUAAAUAGCAUUUUCUGGGUGAGCAGCCCUCAGGGUUGCCCUGGCAGGAGGUCUCAGGUGCUGGGAUUCCGAUGCGCAUCCAGCACAGACUACAGAAGAGUUUCUAACGGAAAGAGGCCAUCCUGUGUUGCCCUGCCCUUCACCUCCAACCCAAGGGGGAGGUUGGCAUAAGGCUGCCCUUCUGCAAGUCUCUCUGCUCCUGGACUGGGAAAAGUGUAGCAGUAGACAUGUCGCAGCAGCGCUGUACUACAUACAUGGAGACAUCUGCUGGGCUUUCAUGGGAAGCUCUUCCUUAGUAAAUGAAGAAAAUCAUCUCGGAAGACCCUCUUUUUGUGUGUCCCCCUUCUUCCCUGUUUAGAAAGGCACCAGGUGCCAAUGUGACCCAGGAGCUGUGGUCAAUGUAUUAAAUUGUGGACAGCAAAGAUGUGUGCGGAUGUAGUAGAGACUGGACCACGGCUGCAGGUGCACCUGCCUCUAGAUUUCUUGCCAUGUAAGAUAAUGAAAUGUUCCUGUGUGAGUACGGAGGCACUGGGUUUUCUACAACUGCAGACAAAAUCACUGCAGCUUGUCCCUCACUACUUCAGCACUGGCAAAGUCGCAGGUUAGAGGUGAGUCACGAGUCACCAUCAUCUCCAGAAAUGGGAAGUGGCACGCGGGUGAAGGAGGAAGAACCAACCUUGUCUUCCAGCAGGACUGAGUUCACUUGCAAAGCUUCUGAGAUCUAGAGUCAGUCAGAGCUAAUCCUGAAGGCUCAGGCUGGCACCAGAACAAACCACCACGAGGGCCAUCUAACCAGGGACACAGCACUGGGCUCUGUAACUGUCACAUCAGCCACUUCCUCUCUCAGAGGACUAUGAGGCAAAUGUGAACAGGCCUCCAACUGAUGCCUUCAUUUCCCCUUAUGACGUCAAUGACCAUCUCAACUGUUAAAGUCAUUCCCUCAAACAGCUCUCACUGAUGAACAAUCGUGAUGAUAUGAAACACCGUCCCUACGCUGGCUCUGUUGCCACAUGGUCAUACUAACAACAGUCAGGCAUAGAGCCACAGGGAGAAUGACAACCCUGCCUUGCUGCUAAGACAGCCUCUAGGGUGGGUGCAUCUGGCUAACCCUGGACCACAGGCUCUGUUUUCAGAUGUGCAAAGUCAGAAAGUUGGUUCCCAGGAGCACUUAUAUAGACACCAUUGCUCAAGCAUUCUUAAGGGACUAUAUAUAACCAGUUGGGAGCCCCUUCAUUUUAUUCCAUGAUGUUCAAGGACAUCUCUUAUGCCAUUUCACCUUUGGGAAAGCCUUCUGAUGAGGCUAUACUCUAGAGCUCUUUCCUCAGGAAUACAGGCCUCUGUUGCCAUCACCAAGGGGCCUUUGAAGCAACAGGGGACACAGCAUAGUAGGGACAAAGGAGACCUACCGCAAGAGGUCUGGGGUGGUGUGUGGAGAACUGACAGUCUAACUUCUCGGACUCGUCGGCUCCGUCCAUCUCCCCUUCAUCACUGGACAGUCGGCUGGCAAGGUCGCCUCCAGCUGGGAGCAGAGGGGGCUCUGGAGUGUAGCCGCUGUGGUUUGAAGAAGUACUGCUGCUUAUGCUGUUUGCAGACGAUGGUCUAAGGGUGAGACGGGGGGAACACAGAGAACAAGUUGUCUUGAGGAAAUCAGAUCCACCCAUUUCAUGCCGCCAAAAAGCAGUCCUGCCACGAUGUCAGGGAGGGCGAGCCAAUGGCACCGCUCUAAAGGGAAACAUUAAACUGCAGGGGUCAGAGCUCUCCUCAGGGACCCACUACUGUUAGUAGUACAGUGCUCUCUGGCUUGCUGCCUCUGGAGUACAAGGCAAGCCCAAGAAGGAACCCCUAGUGUGAGCAGGGGGAUCGGGACAUGUGAACUUAUGCAGAGUCGAGUGACUGUGUUCUGGGAGUUCAUCUACAAACACUCACCCAAGAUCAAGUGUUACCAACAGUUUAGUUUAUGUCCUCUCAGACUUCCUUAGUGUGCAUGCAUGAAUUAAAAAUAAAAAAAAAAG
ensembl:processed_transcript Atxn7l1os2 ataxin 7-like 1, opposite strand 2